rnacentral:rRNA from 1 species
GCGGAGCGCACAUCAGCUCAUAGCGUAUAUUAAAGUUGUUGCAGUUAAAAAGCUCGUAGUUGAAUUUCGGGAUCAGUACGUUGGUCGUGCCUUAGGUACGUACUGGUGUUACUGGUUCCUACCUUCUGACGAACCAUCAUGUCAUUCAUUUGGUGUGGCGGGGAAUCAGGACUGUUACUUUGAAAAAAUUAGAGUGUUUAAAGCAGGCACCC